AGUCUUCUCCAAAUACCCUAUAGACUUUCUUUUGCUCUGUUUUCACAAAAACGCAAAGUUUGAAUCUUUGAAAAUCGUACGGAACCAUGAUGAACGGCGGUCGGCACCAAAACAAAUUCGCAUGGAAGCCCAACCUCGGCGUCAAGAUCAACGAAACCGAGGUCGGAGGCCGGUUCCGGCCGCUGUCGGAAAUCACGGGGGUCUGCCAACGCUGCAAGGAACAGAUCGAGUGGAAGCGCCGUUACGGAAAGUACAAGACCCUGACGGAGCCCGCCAAGUGCCAACGCUGUACCAAACGCGCCGUCCGGCAGUCCCACCAUAAGCUCUGCGCUGCUUGCGCCAAGGAACAAGGUGUUUGUGCCAAGUGCUGCUGCCGUGUCGAGCAAAUCGUCGGAAAAGACCUCGCGGAAGUGGAGGCUGAGCAGAAGAAGCUUCAAGAGGCGAUAAAAAAUGCAAGAGAAAGAGAUAGGAGGAGUCUGUUGCGUGCGAUGAAUGCUGGAAAAUCUGCGGGUGUAGCGAAAGCUGCAGGCGAGAAAGGAAGCAAAGCGGGGGACUUGUUCCCCUCCGCGUCGCUUGAAGAAUAUGCAGCGGCAACCAGAGACGAUGAUGAUGAUGUGAAGGAGGAUGGUGAAGGUGAAGGUGAAGAAGAUGAGACGCAGGUUUGCAAUUAAAAGAGGUACUAAGUAGUAUUUCGGUAGCAAACAUGUCGGUUAGGCCAGUUGGUUAUGAUCGUGUAGAGUGCCCAUCUUUUGCACCCAGGUUCGAAAUGGCGUGCAUCUUUGUACUAUCAGUGACAAAUUGGGCAAAGAUAUUCUCACUUCUUCAACACCGUUGUAGAAGAUCAAGAUGCAUUGCUUUUGGGGGUUUCUUGGGUUAUAAGCAAACUGCCUAUAAAGUAUGCUGGGCACCUAGGUAAGAUCUAAAACUCAGUAGAAAAAUAAGAGAAAUUGAACUUCACUCUUCAAGUCAACAGCCUCGAGAUGGAAUGAUCCAUGGCAUGCCCCCAGAUGAUUUCGGAAAGAACUCAGAAGCGUUUAGUUCAUGGUGUGAUCCAUUGCCAGGAAGAAGACUACUCUUGUCUUGUUUCGAAAGAAACCACAGCCGAAGAGGCUUCUUCAAAUGCUCAGGCCUUUGGAAACAAGCCUGGGACACUCCAACGAACGAGUCUGAAUCAGCAGAGUUCACCAUUGACGAAGUUCUAAGCUUAAAGCCAGGGGAGAUAAGAAUCGGCCUAGACUUUAGCCCGACCAUGGGAACGUUUGCUGUAUCAUGAAGGAAAAGAACAUUACCAUUGCCUCUGGUACCUUAAAACUUAUGGGCUCCUUUUAAUAAGGUAAUCGCCUAAGAGGAAGAUCGGCUCGAGGCUGCCUUUCUUCAACAUUAUCCAUUCCACUCUGUUCUUGGAUGGCUGGAUCGGAGCUGAAGUCCUUCGGUUUGCGUUGUUUGAUUGGGAACGCAUCCUUCCGCCGAAGGGUCUUCGUUGGAUAGGCAGAUUCUUCUGUCACAAGGAGGACAUGAAGUUGCAUAUGGAUGAGUUUAAGAGGUUAGGUUACAAGCCAUUACUCAGGGUGGCGCCCAAGACUGAUAUGCUUGGACAUGAGCUUUUCAUCUCAGCUGUUUUGGAGAAGCCAAUCAGAGGUUAAUUAUUGUCGUUAACAAGUAAAUUUCUAAAUAUCUUCGUGUUUAAACGAGUAAUAAUUGUCGUUAAUUCAAUCGGGUUAAGGAA